UUCGCCUCCAGUUAUUCAGGUGCCUGUAAAGGUUAAACGGGAAGAACGGUGCGUAUUACUUUAGCUACACAGCUAAUACAACGCCGACGCUGCCCCCGCAACGGUAAUCGAUCUUCAUAACAAAGAUCGAGAGUCCGGAUACCGGCCUGUUUUAUUUCUAACCU
rnacentral:ncRNA from 2 species